GACGAACGCUGGCGGCGUGCUUAAUACAUGCAAGUCGAACGGAAAGGCCCUGCUUUUGUUGGGUUCUCGAGUGGCGAACGGGUGAGUAUCACGUGAGUAACCUGCCCUUGACUUUGGGAUAACGUUAGGAGACUGGGGCUAAUACCGGGUAGGAUCUCCUGCUCCAUGUGGGGGGUUAGUAAGUUUCGGCGGUUGGGGAUGGACUCGCGGCUUAUCAGCUUGUUGGUGGGGUAGUGACUUACCAAGGCUUUGACGGGUAGCCGGCCUGAGAGGGUGACCGGCCACAUUGGGACUGCGAUACGGCUCAGAAUCCUACGGGAGGCAGCAGUGGGGAAUAUUGCACAAUGAGGGGAAGCGUGAUGCAGCAACGCCGCGUGCGGGAUGACGGCCUUCGGGUUGUAAACCGAUUUCGCCUGUGACGAAGCGUGAGUGACGGUAAUGGGUAAAGAAGCACCGGCUAACUACGUG
rnacentral:rRNA from 1 species